GUGCUCACUUUGGCAGCACAUACAUUAAAACUGGAACAACACAGAGAUUAGCAUGGCUUCUGUGCAGGGAUGACAUGCAAAUUUGUGAAGAGCUCUUUCAGAUA
ensembl:snRNA U6 U6 spliceosomal RNA